CAACUCCACUUUCAUACAAUCUGUCAUUUGCCUUUCUUCGAAAUAGGGGAUGUUGCAGAGCAACGGAAAUAGAUGGUACCUCCUUUAUAUGCCAAAUAACUGAUCUCGUUUGCAGCUUCUUUACAUUUCAAUUUGAGAAAUGGUCUCCCUUGAAGGAGACUUAAGGUUUAUGUUUGGGAACUGGUAGCAUUUUCUUUCCCUGUGCCCUGUAGGGGAUGAGCAUGGCUAAGCAAGGAGAGGGAAACUUGAGCUCUGAGCUGCCCCGCUCUCCUCUGAUAAGCCUGUCUCCUGCUCUGAGAUUCCCUUGGAGGCCCCUUCUGAGGGUUAGUCUGUGAAUUACAGAAAAGUCAAGUCAGGCCUCCCUCCCCACACCACCACCUGAGCUCUUCUGGUUAACAUAGAGCUGGCUCAUGAACAAGUUAUUUUAAAACAUCCCAGGGAGUGUGGGAGAGGCUGAGUUCAGCAAAACAUGACUGGGUGGUGCUGGUGCUGGUGCUGUUUCGAGGUGUGGAGGCAGGAGUGGCUAAUCGCUUUCAUUUGAAUAAUUUGGGGAUGAUGAGAUGGCUUCUUGAUUGAGGGUUUGAUUGGAGAUUGUGAUGUGGGAUUUGUUGAGAGAGGGGAUUAAGCUAAAGCUAUUCCUAGGAAAAUAUAUUUUAGAUAUUGGCACUUGAACCGAAUGUAUUCCAUUAUCAUUUCCAAAGGCUUGGAUUUUUAGUGUUUUUAGUUUUUAUUUGAGAAGAAUGUUUUGUUUACUUCUCAUCCAGUGUGUUGGAUCCGAGGAGGAAUUCUAAUCUCCUCCUUUACCUUUCUUUAUGAGUAACAAAGAUUACCCACAGUUGUGGGAAUUUUAAGCAGCAAUUUGGAAGAUAAAAAACACCCAACUGGAGGUCAGAAGGCUUAUGGACUAGUCCCAGCUCUGACCCUUACCAUUAACUGCAUGGCCCUGGGUAAAUUCCUAACCUCUCCUGGCCUCAGCUUCUUCAGGUAUAAGAUGACCAAAAAUGUAGGGGUUGCUGUGUUGAUGAACUGAUACAAUGCUUGUUCAUCUGCUUUGUAAAUUACACAGCUCAAACAAAUAUAAAUUAAGAUUUUACUUGCUGCAACAGAAGAAGGUGGACAUUCCCUUGGAGCUUGUUUUCAUGGGACUUGACCUAUAUAACAUUGACUCAAGGGUGUUUGUUAAAGUGAAUCACCUGUGCUUUCUGGGCCAUACUUGAAAUGACAUGCCAUGUUAUGGUGAACCUCUUUUGCACCACCCCAAGUUCAGAGGGCUCUUACACAAUUUGGGCGAGAUUUAUGCACAUACACAUUCUUCCCCCUUAGAAACAAAACAGCGAUUUGGGCAGGGUAGACAUUAGUAAAGUGACUUAGCUGGCAAAUAUGUGAUUAAUAACAUAGAUUUGGCCUAAAUAUCAGUGUGGGCCUCUGUGUAUGGAUGGGUUUAUGAUAAGUAGCAAGUCUGCCAAGUAGAGCAUGUUGGGGAACCUAUUGGGAUCUGUUUAUGCUUGAAGUGUAUUAUGCCAGUGCUGUAGUCGUAUUUAAAUAAAUAAAUUCAUACCAUU